AGUGAAGAAGUCAACCAAUGCCGCAGGUCGGCCACGGUGUCGUCAGCAAAGAUCAGCAUCGGCAAAGCCCAGUGACGAGCAGCGAAGAGUGGCAAGGCGAACCAAUGCCGCGGCCCAGUCAACCGUCUGUUGGGUCAUACUUAAACCCUUUCCAAAUGUCACACGUCAUGUGUUCUCUUAAGGGUUCACUCUAGCAAAACAUCACAUGAUGUUUUUCCAGACAGAUUCCAGAAAAACGCCGUGUGUUUGUUCUCAGCAAAACAUUCUCUCAUGUGUCUGCUUCAACAAAACAUCCUCUCAUGAGACAGUUUCCAGGAAAAAAAAUCACAUGACACAACAGAGUCUCCAAAGGAACUGGAAGUUUCUACUUCGCUUCCCCAGCAAAUCCCCAGUAUGGGGUAAGAGGUCAUCCACCCCAUCUGGGCUGCAAUUUUGUCUGUUGUGAUCUUGUGCAGGUGGCCACAACUUCUUUGAGCUCACAAAUGUGACAGCCACGGCGUGUCCAGAAGGUAGCAUGUUGCAGCAUGCCUCCCUACCCUUUGGCUUUUCUGCUUUGUCUUCCUUGAUGUUCUCUGAGCCUUUGGUUGGGUGAAGAGUUGACAAAGGCAUUCUGUUUGGCGCCUUGCCAUGGAUAUCGAGUUUUCAUACUGUCAUUUGUUACAAAGACUGUAUGUACUUUUCCAUUGAGCUUCCUGGGGGCCUUUAUCAGAAAUCAGCUAUGUACCUGUGAAGAUUGGUUUCUGGACACUUCAUCCACGGAUACUGUCCUCUGUGUACAUCUGAGAUGAACAGUGCAAUGUCUGAAGCUCUUUGUUGGCUCACAUCAGAACGGCAAAGACGAAUGGCCAAUCCUACAACACUCCCUAAGUAUUGGAAGGAGACAAUGACGCCCGUUGGUCACCCAAAGCAGACAGGGUCUCACUACAUAGCUCUACUUGGCCUGGACUUGGCUUUUUAGACCAGAGUAACCUUGAACUCACAGACAUCCACCUGCCUUGGGAUUAAAGGCACCGAUAGGAUAUUGUACUCGUUGAAUGGACCUGAAUAGGCACAAGACAUCAAAACCAAGUUCUCGGCACAAAGGAGGUUUAUUUGCCCCAGAAGAGCAGAGAAUAAGAGAAAAGAUAGAAAUGAAGCACAAGGAAGAAAGGAAAAGAGAAUCAAGCCAGUGGGAUUUUCUCAUUAGAUGGUUACCGUGGGAACACAGAGGACAAUCAGCGGUGACGACUGCAUACACUGGAUUGUGGAAAGAAGAGUGUCUCAUGGACCAACUGGUGAAGAGAUGCAGUCGUGGGCAUCUUAAAAGGGCCACUGGUUGCUUCUCGGCAUGCGACAAGAUGCUGGGGCUCCCAACAUGCUCCUAACUGCAAGACCUCACUGGAAUGUGGAGGAGUCCUUUCUGCUUAAACUUGGUUGAAGAGGAUAGAGAUCCUCUUUCUCCAAAUGCAUGCUGAGGUUUACUCCUGAGGUGCAUGCACACUGGGAAGCUUCCAGAACUUCAGUGGCAAAGACACUGACAUCAUGGGCAAUGCUGUCUGAUCAUGCAGGGCAGGUAUUCCAAGGAUUGUUUAUGACAAACCGUACUGAGUCAUGCACACUUAAGAUUUAUGCAGUGCUUGACCACUGAGAUCUCAUUUCGUGAGGUCUCAAGAGCCUCAAGAUGCUUCCGGAUGGUUCGGUUUUCUGCUGUUACAGCAAAAGAAGCUUAAGCAUAAUCCUGGCAUAGGUUUCAGCCUUGCAUCUUGGCUGAAUUUUGGAAGGAGUUUUCAUCUUCCUUAUUCUUUCUUCUCCCAGGAAGGACUCCCUGGACCCUGUACAUUCUUCAUCUAGACUUGUUGCCCUAGGAAACUGAACACAGCUAUGAGUUUUGCUGGCUCCAAUCCUGUGUUUUUUUCUGGCAACUUUCACAGGUACUGGAGACAGAUGGCCAAGGAGUCAGAAGUUUGGUCCCAAAAGGAAGGCUGGAGACAAACAAAACAUGUCCUGAGAGUGCAGGGGAAAACAGCAGUCAUUUCUGUUCACAGUGCUUAAGAUCUCAUAGCCACCUUACGCUUGAAAUCGCAUCCUUGGCUUUCCAUGAGCUUAGAUGAUUACGGUCACCUUUCAGUUCAGUAGUUUUUCAAAUAGAUUCCCAUAAUGCAUCUGUUAGCAGAUGCCGUAGCAAUGGAAAUCUCAUUUGAAAAGAUCAUCUCUACACAAUGCAGAGCCUGAUGUGUACUGGUGUUUCUACUAAUUCACUAUAGACCAUCAGGUUUUCCACCUUCUAUAUUAAAUCUAGAUAUAAUUCAUCAAUUAAAAAUGCCUUUCCUCUUAGAGACA